rnacentral:rRNA from 1 species
UGGGGAAUAUUGGGCAAUGGGCGCAAGCCUGACCCAGCCAUGCCGCGUGAGUGAUGACGGCCUUAGGGUUGUAAAGCUCUUUUAGUGGUGAGGAUGAUGACGGUAACCACAGAAAAAGCCCCGGCUAACUUCGUGCCAGCAGCCGCGGUAAUACGAAGGGGGCUAGCGUUGUUCGGAUUUACUGGGCGUAAAGCGCACGCAGGCGGCUAGACAAGUCAGAGGUGAAAUCCCAGGGCUCAACCCUGGAACUGCCUUUGAAACUGUCUGGCUAGAGUUCGGGAGAGGGUAGUGGAAUUCCUAGUGUAGCAGUGAAAUGCGUAGAUAUUAGGAGGAACACCGGUGGCGAAGGCGGCUACCUGGCCCGAUACUGACGCUCAUGUGCGAAAGCGUGGGGAGCAAACAG